GAUGAACGCUGACAGAAUGCUUAACACAUGCAAGUCUACUUGAUUUAUGGUUUCGGCCGUAAUGAUGGUGGCGGACGGGUGAGUAACGCGUAAAGAAUCUGCCCUUUAGUCUGGGAUAACAGUUGGAAACGACUGCUAAUACCGGAUAUUAUGGAAUCAUCGCAUGAUGAGAUCAUGAAAGCUAUAUGCGCUAGAGGAGGACUUUGCGUCCCAUUAGCUAGUUGGUGAGGUAACGGCUCACCAAGGCGACGAUGGGUAGCCGGCCUGAGAGGGUGAUCGGCCACAAGGGAACUGAGACACGGUCCUUACUCCUACGGGAGGCAGCAGUGGGGAAUAUUGGACAAUGGACCAAAAGUCUGAUCCAGCAAUUCUGUGUGCACGAUGAAGGUCUUCGGAUUGUAAAGUGCUUUCAGUAGGGAAGAAUAAAUGACGGUACCUACAGAAGAAGCGACGGCUAAAUAUGUGCCAGCAGCAGCCGCGGUAA
rnacentral:rRNA from 1 species